CGAAACCCGAAAGCCGAAUCUUUCUGGAACCAGGGACUGGACCCUUGAGAAUGCCGAAAGCCUUGGGACAACAGGAUUAGAUACCCCUGGUAGUCCACGCCCUACCGAUGAAUGUUAGUCCGUUUGGAGUGCCUACCCACUUCAGUGAUGCAGCUAACGCAUUAAACAUUCCGCCUGGGGAGUACGGCCGCAAGGUUAAAACUCAAAGGAAUAGACGGGGACCCGCACAAUGUGGAGCAUGUGGUUUAAUUCGAAGAUACGCGAAGAACCUUACCUGGCCUUGACAUAUACCAGAAUCUGCCAGAGAUGGUGGAGUGCCUUCGGGAGCUGGUAUACAGGUGCUGCACGGCUGUCGUCAGCUCGUGUCGUGAGAUGUUGGGUUAAGUCCCGCAACGAGCGCAACCCUCGUGACUAGUUACUAACAGCAUAGGCUGAGGACUCUAGUCAGACUGCCUUCGUAAGGAGGAGGAAGGUGAGGACGACGUCAAGUCAUCAUGGCCCUUACGGCCAGGGCGACACACGUGCUACAAUGGGAAGGACAAAGAGAAGCAAAACUGUGAGGUGGAGCAAAUCUAUAAACCUUCUCUCAGUUCGGAUUGCAGUCUGCAACUCGACUGCAUGAAGCUGGAAUCACUAGUAAUCGUGAAUCAGCCAUGUCACGGUGAAUACGUUCCCGGGUCUUGUACUCACCGCCCGUCACACCAUGGGAGUUGAUUUCACCCGAAGCGGGGAUGCUAAAUAGGCUACCCGCCACGGUGGAAUUAGCGACUGGGGUGAAGUCGUAACAAGGUAACCGUAGGAGAACCUGCGGAUG
rnacentral:rRNA from 1 species